UGGGCUUUUUAAACUGGUGGUUUUUAAGUUUUUGGUUUUUUGUAUUAAGGGCAGUUCCCACUAUCAAUUGAUGCAGUUAGGAGAAAUUAACUCCUUAUCUGAUAGUUUAUACACUUGAUGUUUCUUUAAUUGGAAAUGGAACUGGCAGAAAGAUAAUUUAAAGUUACUUGGAGAACCACCCUGACUUCCACCUAAUCUUUGAUAAAGCCAUGGAAGAAGGUGCCAUUUUUGGGUAAUACAAGUAACCAGCCUGAGGAGAAUCACUUGCAGAAACCAUCUGGUCAAAUAAUUGGUUCAUAGGUAUUGUCUUACUGGUCCAUAAGGGCAAUUUUUCAACUUAUUUUAAGUGUAUUUUGUCAGUUCCUGCAGAGGCUAAUGAUGUGUGAAAACUUCCCCUUUCAGUACCUUUUUAAGGAACUUUGUAGUCUAGAGGAAGAAGAAAAUAAAAGUUACAUAAGUAUGUUGGGUACUAAUAACUGUUGUAGAGAAAGGUAUAAAAGAAGGGCAACAAGCAUAUUGAACUAAAUAAAGAGAAGGCUGUAUUAUCUUUUUAAGGAUAUUUAAACUUGAGAUGGAUGGUACAGUGUAGGUACGGUCCUAGAGAUGAAGAAGAUAAGGAUACAGAUAACAAUAUUUCAAGUGGGAGAAAAAGGAGAUGUGUGAAAUAUUUUAAGUCCAGUAGGGAGAGCAUAUUCAGGAGAAGAGGUGGAAGAUGAGACCAACUAUAUUGGUGGGAAGGAGACCAUAAAAGCACCUUUUGUGCUUAGGAGUUUGCACUUUUAUCUUGAAAGCUGUGCUAGAUUUCAAGCAGGAAUAUAACUUGUGUUUUAGGACAACUUCAGCAUUAGGGUAAGGAUAAAUUAGAAGAAAAAAACCAGAGUGAAGGCAGGAAUAUCAAAAGUAAGCCAUUCCAUUGCUAUAAUAUAAACAAAAGAUCGUAAGAUCUUGAAUGAAGGGAGGUAGUGGCAGGUAGUGGGCAUAAAAGAGAGGAAGCCUAUUUAAGAGAUUUUAAGGAUCUUUAAGAUUAAUAACUACUUUGAUCAGUGAUGAGUUACUGGUUUGUGGUUUGUUUGGAUACAGGAGACAUCUAAGGAUAAAUAUUUAUAGGUAUAUAUAUAUCCUGGAAUUAAUAACUAGAGAAUUAAUAACUAGAGAAAAAUUCAAGAUUUAACCAAAAUAAGUAUGAGUCAGGAGAUAGAAGCAAAAGAUGGAUCUGGGGGAAUACCAAGACUUUAUGAUUGCCCUGGGGGAGGAAUACUGACUUUGGACUGAUUGGAGUUAAAAACCAGUAGAAGAGAUCGGGUAUAAAUCCUGGAUUUCUAAGACUUGGGUGAGGUUACAGAUUAAAGUAUUCUUCUUUUUCUUUUGUUGUUUUCUGUUUGCUUUCAGUUUAUAGUAAAUUUGACAAUAGAGCUUCAGUUUUUUAGGUAGCAUACUUUGGUUUGGUCACCUCUGGAUCUUACGGUUUUACCAGUUUUUCCUCUUUGAGUUGAUGAAAUUGUAGUGUUAAAUUGUAACACUGAAAUAUUUUCAUCCCUGAGUUUUUGAAAUGAAAUUUGGCUUUCCCUAAAUCUUACCAUCAGAUUGCCUUUAUUCAGAAGCAGUCAGAUACGGUCCUUCUGAUUGUAUGAAACUUGGAAUGAAAACUCAGAACUUUGGUAAUUAGGUUUUAUAAAAACUUUUACUGUUGAGGAGUACUGUGUAAACAUUUUCCGUAUUAGUCUGUUUUGUAAAACUAUGCCAUUUGAAGCAUCUAUUCCCAAUUAAUGUAGCUGUUAACAAAGGAAUGUUAUUUAAUUCAGAUCAUAUUCUGUGCUUUAUUUUUUCUAUACCUUUUAUAUGCUGCUUUGCAGUCUUAGUUUUUUUAAUUUAAAUUUUGUAGACAAUAUGAAAAGACUUUGGAGUAAGAAGGACUCAAGUUGUAGUUCUUUGAUUAUACUAGUUAUAUGUUUCUUUGAACUUCAUUCUUAAUCAGUAAAUUGUCAUUUUUCCUUCAAGUUGCUGGUUUGCCCUGUUCAUUUUUCAUAAUGUUUGCAACAUUUUAUUGCAUGUCUCUUCACCAGAACACUUACCCAUCAAUGUAAGAAAUUGUUCUCUGUGUCCCUUAUACAUACCUGAUCUGUAGAACAGUUAAGGUUUUUUUUUUUUUUUAAAGAUUUUCUUUAUCUGUUAGAACGAGCAAGCACGAGUAGGGUGAGGGGCAGAGGGAGAAGCAGGCUCUCUGAUGAGCAGGGAACCCGACGCGGGGCUCUCAAGGCUCCAUCCCAGCACUCUAGGAUCAUGACCUGAGCCAAAAAGAUGCUUUAACAGGCUGAGCCACCCAGGCGUCCUAAGAACUGAGUUAGAUUAAACAGGGAAUUAAAUGAGCUGUAUUAAAGUGUCAGAUCUGGAAAAGUUUUUACUUUCUUGACAUCCAGAAUGGGCAUAAUAAAAGGCUUAUAAUUAGCACUAUGUACAUACUGUCUGUAAUGGAGAGGAGUGGAUGUUGGUAAUAACUGAAUUACUGUAAAUUUUUAAAGACAUCGCCAGGUGACUUCUUUGCAUAUCCAGAAGCAGUUAUGCAGUUACUAUGUUUUACCCUAAAGGUUUUAAUGAGGUCACUGUCUUUUGUCAUCAUUCACUGAUCCCAUAUUGACCAGUGAUCUUCAUAAGACCUGGGUUCCAGUCUUGGUUCUUACACUACAAAUUAUUCAAAUCCCAUUUGUAUCUAGUGUAAAAUGGGAAUACAGUGUUAACCUUUUUCCUGGUAUUGGUUUAAUGAAAUGUAAAAUUCUGGCAAGUUACUUAUGUACUAACAUUGUGUAAUAUUUAUUAAGAGAGUUCUUCAUACUCAGAUUAUAUAAUAAGCAGAACAACAAAGGAGGAAGAGUGAUGCUAUAGCUUGAAAAUUUCUGUUCUGUUGAAGUGGCAGAGCAGUUCCACAUUGUUUCCAAAUUUGUAAUCCUGUUUAUUAAUUUGUUGUGGAGAAUUCAGUAUGGUUUUGAAAAAAAUCUUCCAUUGUUUUGGGGGCGCCUGCGUGACAAUAGCUUGAACAUCCAUCUCUUGGUUUCAGCUCAGGUAGUGAUCUCAGGGUCCUGGGAUCAAGUCCUAAGUCAGGCU